rnacentral:rRNA from 1 species
CUAAUACCGGAUAAGAAAGCGGAUCGCAUGAUCAGCUUUUAAAAGGUGGCGUAAGCUGUCGCUAUGGGAUGGCCCCGCGGUGCAUUAGCUAGUUGGUAAGGUAAAGGCUUACCAAGGCGAUGAUGCAUAGCCGAGUUGAGAGACUGAUCGGCCACAUUGGGACUGAGACACGGCCCAAACUCCUACGGGAGGCAGCAGGC